rnacentral:rRNA from 1 species
AACGAACGCUGGCGGCAGGCCUAACACAUGCAAGUCGAACGCCCCGCAAGGGGAGUGGCAGACGGGUGAGUAACGCGUGGGAACAUACCCUUUGGUUCGGAAUAGCUCAGGGAAACUUGAAUUAAUACCGGAUACGUCCGCAAGGAGAAAGAUUUAUCGCCGAAGGAUUGGCCCGCGUCUGAUUAGCUAGUUGGUGGGGUAACGGCCCACCAAGGCGACGAUCAGUAGCUGGUCUGAGAGGAUGAUCAGCCACACUGGGACUGAGACACGGCCCAGACUCCUACGGGAGGCAGCAGUGGGGAAUAUUGGACAAUGGGCGAAAGCCUGAUCCAGCCAUGCCGCGUGAGUGAUGAAGGCCCUAGGGUUGUAAAGCUCUUUCGUCAGGGACGAUAAUGACGGUACCUGAAGAAGAAGCCCCGGCUAACUUCGUGCCAGCCGCCG